AGCUCGGUGGACGAGUGGUUAAGACACCAGACUAGUAAUUUGGAGGUCGUGGGUUCGAUUCCCACCUGAGUCA